rfam:Arenimonas malthae CC-JY-1 contig71, whole genome shotgun sequence.
CCGUCGGCCUCCCGCGACGCUAGUCCGAAAACCCCGCCAGGGCCGGAAGGCAGCAACGGUAUUGGAUGAUGCGGGUGCCGGGUCCCGCCGGCGGGGU